rnacentral:rRNA from 1 species
CGCUGGCGGCACGCCUUAUACAUGCAAGUCGAACGAAGUAGUAAUACUUAGUGGCAGACGGGUGAGUAACAUGUAGGUAUCUUCCCUUUGGUGAGGAAUAACACGAGGAAACUUGUGCUAAUACCUCAUAAGUCUUUACGGAGAAAGCUUUAUGCGCCGAAGGAUGAGCCUGCAUUUGAUUAGUUUGUUGGUGGGGUAAUGGCCCACCAAGACUUUGAUCAAUAGCUGAUCUGAGAGGAUGAUCAGCCACAUUGGGACUGAGACACGGCCCAAACUCCUACGGGAGGCAGCAGUAGGGAAUAUUGCACAAUGGAGGAAACUCUGAUGCAGCGAUGCCGCGUGAGUGAAGAAGGCCUUUGGGUUGUAAAGCUCUUUCGUCGGGGAAGAAAAUGACUGUACCCGAAUAAGAAGGUCCGGCUAACUUCGUGCCAGCAGCCGCGGUAAUACGAAGGGACCUAGCGUAGUUCGGAAUUACUGGGCUUAAAGAGUUCGUAGGUGGUUAAAAAAGUUGGUGGUGAAAUCCCAGAGCUUAACUCUGGAACUGCCAUCAAAACUUUUUAGCUAGAGUAUGAUAGAGGAAAGCAGAAUUUCUAGUGUAGAGGUGAAAUUCGUAGAUAUUAGAAAGAAUACCAAUUGCGAAGGCAGCUUUCUGGAUCAUUACUGACACUGAGGAACGAAAGCAUGGGUAGCGAAGAGGAUUAGAUACCCUCGUAGUCCAUGCCGUAAACGAUGUGUGUUAGACGUUGGAAAUUUUUUUUCAGUGUCGCAGCGAAAGCAUUAAACACACCGCCUGGGGAGU